UAAUCACGGAAUUAAGAAAUUUUUCCAAGCUCGAUUUUAAUUCCAAAUAUGAGUUAAUUGCAAGAGGGAGGUCUACGCCAGCCUUAGAUGGACUAGUACAGCAAAAGGGCCCAAAAAUUAUCCGAUCAUUUCAAACUGAUGGUAUGUAAGAAAAGAUUGGCUAUGUGGCUGUGCUAACAAUCAGCGGCUGUACUGCUAUCCCUGCCUGCUUUUUUCAACCAGUCAGACUGUUUGGACUUCAGCAGGAUAUUGUGAUUUGAACAACCUGCCAGCAGCUUUAACCAAGCAUGAAAAGUCGUCAGCUCACAUCCAGUGUCAAAUUACACUGAAAACCUUUGGAAAAUCUCGGAUCGACCUUGCACUUGACGACCAAAGGAAGCUGUAUAUAACCUACCACAAUGAAAAGGACACCACAGUGUCAAUCCUAAAACCGGCCACAGAGAGUGAGUGCAGGAUGUGCCUGUUCCAAUUUACUAGCCGCCAGAAUCACAGGAUGGGAUCUGGGGUGGAGAAGGCUGGAUAUCUGGUUUUAGAUAUGCCAACAAUGACAAGGAUCCAGAGCCUCUUCACAAGAGUUUGGUGGAGAAGCUUGUGAAGAAGCUAGCCAUCAAGAAGCUCUCAGAGACUCAAAUUGUAGAGAAGACAACGUUAAAUUGUCUUCCUUGAUAUCUGUUGUUAAUUUAACUGUAAUGCACUGAGAUUAUUAGGGAAGCCACAAUAAUGUAUUUAUUUUGUAUUAAUAUCAGCAGCUGUGCUUGUAUUCUGUAAAUAAUAUUAAAUUGAUUCAGAAAUAUGCACAUAAUGCCUCUAAGGCAUUUUUGUUCUUAAAAAGAAAUUGAUGCUUCUUUUUCACCUUAGAUGCAUUAUAUUGUUUAAAAAUACUACCUUGAACAUUAGUAAUGCUGCAAAAUAGUAUUACUGUUUGAUAUAACUUUUAUAUUGUAUUUUAAAAUUCAAUUUUUAAAGUGUGGCGUGAUCUUGAUUAAUCAUUUACAAAAAGAGUAGGAUGGCACAUUUAUUUUGGGAUGGUUAGCAUAUUAUGUGUAAAACCAUAAUAGAUAACAAUUCAUAAUCUUUAUACACACUAUUUACUAUCUUAAUACCUUUACAUACACACACAUAAUAUAAUGUUUAAAAAUGAAUAAUAAUUGUAUCAUCAUUACACCUACACAUGGUUCAAGCCAGACUACUAUUACAAUUAGUUCCUAUCAUUUAUGUGAUUAAAACAAAUCUUCAUAUUCCAAACCAUAAUUUAAUCAUAUAUCAAUCCUAAUAAUAUUAAUAUAAUCGUAUUAAUUUCAAUCAGAUGCACAGGUAAAUGUCUAAACCGGCUGGGCCUUACUGCCUGCCGUACCACCUGCCUUCAGUUGUCCAGCUAUGGGGUCAUCAGCCAGGAUGUCCUGUCUCAUUAAUCCCGGAACAUCUCCUGGAGGAGGGGCAGCGGUCAGGGACGCCUCCCUGCCAACCCCACAGAUGGACACGAAUCACAAUAUUAAUGAUAAAAAAACAAACAUGUGUUGAGUCCUAGUUUAAAAUAUACUUUUGUUUGUUUUUCUCCUCUCUUCUGAAACUUUCAUGUUUUAACAAUGUGCCAAG